AGUGAACGCUGGCGGUAGGCCUAACACAUGCAAGUCGAACGGCAGCACAGUAAGAGCUUGCUCUUACGGGUGGCGAGUGGCGGACGGGUGAGGAAUACAUCGGAAUCUACUUUUUCGUGGGGGAUAACGUAGGGAAACUUACGCUACUACCGCAUACGACCUACGGGUGAAAGCAGGGGAUCUUCGGACCUUGCGCGAUUGAAUGAGCCGAUGUCGGAUUAGCUAGUUGGCGGGGUAAAGGCCCACCAAGGCGACGAUCCGUAGCUGGUCUGAGGGGAUGGUCGGCCCAACCGGAAAUGAGAAAAGGUCCAGACCCCUAAGGGGGGGAGGAGUGGGGAAUUUUCGGCAAUGGGGGGAAAGCUUACGCCACCCAGCCGGGGGGGUGAAAAAAGGCCUCGGGUUGGAAAACCCUUUUUUUGGGGAAAAAAAAGCGGGGGGUUAACUCCCCGCGUUUUGACGGGAACCAAAAAAAAAGCCACGGCUAAAUUCGGG
rnacentral:rRNA from 1 species